CUGAAGAACCCGGAUGCGCAGCUGCAGCCGGGAGGCGCUGGGGUGGGGGCGUCUGAGACUUGUGACACUCCCCGGGAAGGUUUUGGUGCUGACCUGAACGUCUAUGGGCAGUAACAGUCGGCAGAAUUGGAAUUUCAGAAAAAUUAUAUCUCAGGGAGCAGAAUUUUGCUGAAGAAUGAAGUCACUACAGAAGACCUAAGAGAUUCUGUCUCAAGCUGGUCCCUUUAUAAAAUCCUGCUCCUGGUCUUAUCUCUAUAAAGGAUUUUCCAGGGUCUUGUUCAAUCACUAAUUUGCCUAGCAUGGGCUAGAAUUUGUGAUCAUCCUGCCUCAGCCUGUGCCACCAUACCCAGAUUAUUUGAUUCUUUAAAAAGAAAAAAAAAUUCUGAAGAUUAGUUAGCAUAAUUCUAACAUUUAUUUACAUUGGAAAUUAUCAUAAAGGUGUCUCCACACACUCCAUCACCUACUCAGACCUUCAAUUCCCAUUUUUGGUUACCAUCUCCUGGGCAUCCUAGGCCAAUUUCUUUAAUUGGCCCCAGGUCAGGUCUAGCCCUAUCCUUGUCUAUCAGCUCUGGUGUGGUCUCCAAGGCAUCACUGCUACAGGAUUGACCAUCAGUUUCUUCAAGCGUGGAACAAAUUCCUUCUCCAGAUCUAGGUCCAUAACACAGCCAGACAGCAUGCUAUGGCAUCCAGGCAUAGAUCAUGGAGACACUCCCUUAUCCAGGUCCACAACAAAAAGUAAAAUUAUAUGCUUUAACAAGCCAAGUCAUCAAUGGGAGGUGCAGUUCUAUGCUGGAGCAAAGCUUUUCUACCAAGAAGUAUCAGCCACAGAAGCAGGCACAAUGAGAAACUUCAUCGAACUAUCACACCCAGAUAUCUCUACCUCAUGGAGAUUUCUUAGGAAAUUUAUUGGUGUGAAUUACUUAACUGUGGCUUGAUGAGAGGGUAAAGUACUCGAGAAC